rnacentral:rRNA from 1 species
GACGAACGCUGGCGGCGUGCUUAACACAUGCAAGUCGAACGAGGUCCACCGCGUAGCAAUACAAGGGAAGACCUAGUGGCGAACGGGUGCGUAACACGUGAGGAACUUGUCCCGGUCUCUGGGAUAACAGUUGGAAACGACUGCUAAUACCGGAUGACGUCGGAAUCUCGCAUGGGAUACUGACGAAAGGGUUACUGGAUCGGGAGAGCCUCGCGGCCUAUCAGCUUGUUGGUGAGGUAACGGCUCACCAAGGCAUCGACGGGUAGCUGGUCUGAGAGGAUGAUCUGCCACACUGGGACUGAGACACGGCCCAGACUCCUACGGGAGGCAGCAGUGGGGAAUCUUGCGCAAUGGGCGAAAGCCUGACGCAGCAACGCCGCGUGCGGGAAGAAGGCCCUCGGGUUGUAAACCGCUUUCAGUAGGAACGAAAUGACGGUACCUGCAGAAGAAGGUGCGGCCAACUACGUGCCAGCAGCCGCGGUAAAGUCUGUACU